rnacentral:lncRNA from 1 species
UUCAGGAAUGUGCUGAAGUUUUCACUUGGGAAAUUAUUACAAAUUAUUAAAGGAGUGCAAGUAUUUACCCAUAAUGUAAAACUCCCAGUCUUACACUUUCCUGUUGCCUGUGGACUCUGAAACAGUUCUCAGCUCUUAAGAAUCUAAAUUGUGCCUACAUUGAUUGUUGGAACCUGGCUGUGAACCUUAAAGCUCAUCUACUAUGCAAAGCUUGAGAAGAUAGAAGGAAAGUGCUUGGGUUUCCUGACUUAUGCUGGAUAUACCAUCGUCCUCAUUAGAGCACAGUGGAGUCUGACUUUUACCUUUAGAUGGGUGUGAGGAGCAGAAGGCUGAGGUCGUGCCAAUUCCAGGAGAAUGCUGUAAAGAGAAGGUGGAACUGAAGGGUGGUAGAAACCUACAGGCAACUUCACAGCUCAGUAUUGAUCCCACAGGGUUUGUCACUAUCACUUCUGUCCUCCUACAGUUCAGACCUUCCCACACACUGUCGGUUACAAUUAAAUAUAUAUGCCAGGCAUGACAAACAGAGAGGGUUUAUCAUACUAUAUGAGAAACAGAUUUU